rnacentral:rRNA from 1 species
AACGAACGCUGGCGGCAUGCCUAACACAUGCAAGUCGAACGAGACCUUCGGGUCUAGUGGCGCACGGGGGCGUAACGCGUGGGAACCUGCCCUUAGGUUCGGAAUAACUCCCCGAAAGGGGUGCUAAUACCGGAUAAUGUCUUCGGACCAAGGAUUUAUCGCCUCUGGAUGGGCCCGCGUUGGAUUAGCUAGUUGGUAGGGUAAAAGCCUACCAAGGCGAGGAUCCAUAGCUGGUCUGAGAGGAUGAUCAGCGACACUGAGACUGGGACGCGGCCCAGACUCGUACGGAAGGCGGGAGUGGGGGAUAUUGGAAAAUGGGCGGAAGGCUGAUGCAGCAAUGCCGCGUGAGUGAUGAAGGCCUUAGGGAUGUAACGCUCUUUUACCCGGGAUGGUAAUGACAGUACCGGAAGAAUAAGCUCCGGCUAACUCCGUG